rnacentral:rRNA from 1 species
CCUUAGUAACGGCGAGUGAAGCGGCAAUAGCUCAAAUUUGAAAGCUGGCCCCUUUCGGGGUCCGCGUUGUAAUUUGUAGAGGAUGAUUCGGCGAGGGCUCCCGUCUAAGUCCCUUGGAACAGGGCGUCAUAGAGGGUGAGAAUCCCGUAUGUGAUGGGCUGCCUUAGCCAUGUGAAUCUCCUUCGACGAGUCGAGUUGUUUGGGAAUGCAGCUCUAAAUGGGAGGUAAAUUUCUUCUAAAGCUAAAUACCGGCCAGAGACCGAUAGCGCACAAGUAGAGUGAUCGAAAGAUGAAAAGCACUUUGGAAAGAGAGUUAAAAAGUACGUGAAAUUGUUGAAAGGGAAGCGCUUGCAGCCAGACUUGUCCGCAGUUGCUCAGCCUGCCUCCUGACAGGCGUACUCUUCUGCGGCCAGGCCAGCAUCAGUUCGGGCGGUCGGAUAAAGACCCGGGGAAUGUAGCUCCUCUCGGGGAGUGUUAUAGCCCUGGGUGCAAUGCGGCCAGCCUGGACUGAGGAUCUCGCUUCGGCUAGGAUGCUGGCGUAAUGGCUGUAAGCGGCCCGUCUUGAAACACGGACCAAGGAGUCUAACAUCUAUGCGAGUGUUUGGGUGUCAAACCCAUGCGCGUAAUGAAAGUGAACGGAGGUGGGAACCCUCACGGGUGCACCAUCGACCGAUCCUGAUGUCUUCGGAUGGAUUUGAGUAAGAGCAUAGCUGUUGGGACCCGAAAGAUGGUGAACUAUGCCUGAAUAGGGUGAAGCCAGAGGAAACUCUGGUGGAGGCUCGCAGCGGUUCUGACGUGCAAAUCGAUCGUCAAAUUUGGGUAUCGGGGCGAAAGACUAAUCGAACCAUCUAG